GCGAAUGGGUGAGUAACACGUAGGUGACCUGCCCCAAAGAGGGGAAUAACCACUGGAAACGGUGGCUAAUACCCCAUGUGCUCGGCGGUUCGGUCCGCUGAGUAAAGCUCCGGUGCUUUGGGAGGGGCCUGCGGCCCAUCAGGUAGUUGGUAGGGUAAUGGCCUACCAAGCCAAUGACGGGUAGGGGGCGUGAGAGCGUGAUCCCCCACACUGGCACUGACACACGGGCCAGACUCCUACGGGAGGCAGCAGUGAGGAAUAUUGAGCAAUGGGCGAAGGCCUGACUCAGCAACGCCGCGUGGGCGAUGAAGGCCUUCGGGUUGUAAAGCCCUUUUCUGAGGGACGAGCAAGGACGGUACCUCAGGAAUAAGUCACGGCUAACUACGUGCCAGCAGCCGCGGUAAUACGUAGGUGGCUAGCGUUAUCCGGAAUCACUGGGCGUAAAGCGCGUGUAGGUGGUUUCGUAAGUCGGACGUGAAAGCUCCUGGCUUAACUGGGAGAGGUCGUUCGAAACUGCGAGCUUGAGGUCGGGAGAGGGACGUGGAUUCCCGUGUAGUGGUGGAUGCGUAGAUAUCGGGAGGAACACCAGUGGCGAAGGCGACGUCCUAGCCCGACCUGACACUCAGACGCGAAGCGUGGGAGCGACGGGAUAGAUACCCGGUAGUCACGCUGAAACGGGGAUACUAGGUGUGGGAAGAGCUUUUAGACCCAGCUACGGUGAGUGCCGCUGGGAUCGGCCAGAU
rnacentral:rRNA from 1 species